UAAACAAAAACAAAAGUUAAUAAAAAAGAAAAGAUUAAUAGUAUAACGAAAUUACAUUUUAAGCACAAUACAUAAUCUUCAAAAUGGUGUUAAAUAAUGGAGAGAAGUUGUAGGCUGCGCUAAAUGAAUACCUUAUGUUAAAUGAAGCGUUUUUAUGAAGCCUCACGAAUAUUAUUAUCACAUACAAGAAUCUCAUAAUAAUUAAACAAUUUCUCUAGUAAUAAAAAAGUUUUCUCAUGAUAAAUUAUAAUACGCUUUAUUAUACAGAUUAUUCGUGACUCGCACAACUUAUACCUUGCUUUAAAUACAAACUUAUCUGCUUACGUAUCUUACCAUGCGAGAAAUAAUUAAUAAUUUAGAAUAAAUACAAUUGUUCAAGUUAAUUAUGCGCUUACAUAUAUCUCACUCUCAGCUACUGCUCGUCAUCACUUUUACCUAAUUAUAAGUUCGAUACGUGUUGUACUCGCAAAUAUCUCUAUAGCAAAAUUUCAUAAAAUGAUGGUUCCAACAAAAAAGGAUUACUUUAUGCUAUCUGAUAACAAAGGAAAUACCUAUUUCGCAACUUGGCACAUUACUGAUCAGAAGUGAAAUAGAAAAUGAAAUUAAUUUGCCGGACGCAACUUGACUUUCUAAUACAUACAUCGAAUGUAUCCAGCCUGCAUUAUCAAACGUUAUAUCUGAAUGACUUGCCUUGCCUAUCACUCGUAACUACUGUGUUAAUGUAAUCUAGAUGAAAGUGAAUGCUGCGAUUCGAUAAGCGUGUAAUGGCUUAAACAGUAGCUUGACAUACAUGUUAGAAAUAUUUUUUAUUACAAUUAAUUAUAUAAUAUAAUACAAAUUUUUUACAAUUUUGCAAAAAGUGCAAUGUAACUGUUACCUGCUAUCUAUAGCAGACUGUAAUACAUAUAUAAUUUGACAAUUGUUUCAUAUUAAUUUUGAUAUGUAAAAAGUACAUUAAUUAAUAUAAAAAUGUUUGUCAGAGCAAAUGUAGCCGUAUAUUUAUAAUAUUUGCAGCGUAAGUAAAGACAACCAAAUUCAGUAUUUAUAAAUUGAUAAUUUUUCUCUGUAACUGACUGUACUCAAUUCUUUUUUUGUCCCCUUUCAGGUAUCGAGGUCACAUGUGACCUUGUUUUAAGAGAGCAGUAGUACGCAAAUUUCUCGACUUUGCUUGUACGCGGAGAUGACGCAUGCUGCAUAUAUCUUAAAGGAUACAAAAUAAAAUGGAGGAGUAUCCAGGUUCAAGGCUUUGCUUUGCAAUUAGACCGAAUAAAUUAUGCGUGUCAUCAAAUUUAUUGUGACGUGUCACAUGACGUAUCUUUCUCGGCAAUAUUACAAUGAACGGUACGGCUACAUCUUUAAAUUACACGCCACACUUUGUACAUUACAGAGAUUAAAUCGCAAGCAUCCUGCAUAAAAGCAAAUCAGUAACAUAAAAAUGUUAAUUAAUUCGGAUGGUAUUUUAUUAUCAGUUAUGAAGUCAACAAUAACUUAAAAAAUUUCAAAAUCUCUUCGUUCAAGCUGAACGUGAUACGAAAAUUUGAUAAAAAUUCGUAUUCCGCCGUUUCACUAUCUCGUACCUCUACUCGUAAACUUUUUCAUAUUUCCGCAUAGCUCUUGCCCGACAUCCGUCAGGUAUGAUCGUCAUGUUACGUUGACCAUCGAAGGUACCCGCAGCACAUCGACGUCUUGCUCGGAAUGAUGAAAAAGCAUGGUCGACGAGUCGAUGCUCGGCGGAGCCCCGAACGCAGCAACGAGAAUGAGUUCUCAUUCGGGCUGCACAUAUUUCCCGGACCGUUUUCUCGUCGUAAAAUGAAACUAUUACUUUAUCAGUUUCUCCUCUCGCAUCCCCGACUGGCUGAGGAUCGACGAAGUUCCACGUUUCCUCAUUUGUCUUUUCGUUUUCUUACCCCUCUGUCCAUCCCGCGCGCACCCCGGCGGCCCUUCUCUCGCGCGUCUUAGCCCCGGAGUUCACGAGACUGCCACGGGGAUGCCGGAGCAGGAACAAGGCUGUAUACAGAAGGGCUGUACAGCCGUUGGCUGCUGGGAUACCAAAGAUUCCUUCAGAGAUUGCGGACGGAAUUUCGCUGCAGUGACGGACGAACUCCUCUCCGCGUCUUGUCUUAUCUUACCCCUGCCGGUAUUAUAGCCCCCGUCCCCUUAUACCCCACCUAAGACGGAGGUAUCCUACGCCAGACAGAUAAAAUUCCAGGAAAGGCGAAAAGAGAGCCUCCUCCGACUCCCUUUUCCUCUGGAAACAGGAACCUCCACGGGAACGAAACUGCGCUGCCGUAUCCCAUAUCCUGCGACGUCGGAAGGAGACUUUAAAUCGAAAGAUCCCCGUUUAGAUGAAUCCCCUGAUGCUCGAGGUGCUGGAUCUCCCGUCAUUCGAAAUCGAUUCGGCAUGUCGGCAAACACUUUCCGCCGUCGAAUCGCGCUCUCCACAUCAGCAAAAUCACUUUUUAUGUGCGCCGGAAUCACGUCACGGACUAAAAUAAUAAUCGAUAGGGCCGCACGUGCUGCCUUAUCUCUUCAAUACGCUCUUUUCAUCUAUAGAUUUUGUAAUUAAGCUGAUAUUUUUAAAAAUAAAUAUUGAAAAGUAUUACCAAUGUUUUAAUUUCCUACUAAAUCUAGAGAAUCUUAGAUUUUAGACUCUGAGUGAGAUAUAGAAAUAGAACAUUGCGGAUUUGUAUUAUAUUGAUGUCAUAUAUCCAUCUGUCAGAGCCAUAGGCAUUCCAGUUUACUGCCGAAAAGUAAACUAAUUAUUUAACUAAUUACAAAACAGCGAAACAGUGGAUUCUUUAUGUAGAAAGUUCGCUAAAUGGGUUUGCAAACUUGAAAAUUUAUGCGUGACUAGGAUGUCAAAAGUAAGUAGAACGAGCAGUGAAAGUUCUAAGGGGGGUAAGGGAUUAUAUUUUAGUGAGGCAAAAUUCGCGAACUUGCAUAAAAUCGCGAAUAUGAGAUGCGCGCUCAAGCUAUUAGGGAAAUAUGUAGAGUAAGAGACUAUACCACAACUUACAACAAGUACUUGUAAUAGUAUUUCAUUAUAUUGGCCUUAUCCUACUACUCCAUUAACAUGAUUUUCUUUCUCGUGUAAUUAACUCUUAUAAUUAUAUUACAAAAGUAUGUGCAACAUUUAAAAUCGUAAUCCUUUUUAUUAUUGUCUUUAUUACUAUCCAAUACGCUGCAAUUGUUUUUAUGAUUAAUAAAACGUCAAGAUCAAAAACGAUCCAUUAGUAAGGAAAGUAAUUGGAACUGAGAAUUACGUCGAUUCGAACGGACGAGGAAGUCGCAUUAAUUUCUGGAUCACGGUCAGAGUUCUCAAGGUCAAAUACCCCUCUCAUCGAUGAAACCUGUUUGCAGAGAAGAAAGUCGAUGAUCCAAACCUGACUCUCGAUCGUCGGUUCCUGAACUUUCGUGACGACCUCAUUUUCGGAUAUUUCCAAUUGCUCACUUCUACCUCGCUACGUCCUAUGUUUGUCUUUCUUUGGAAAUGUUUCGAAGUAUUUGAUGAUUUAUCAUCAUACCCACUCUCACCAUCUUACCUAAAAUUCAAGCAAUUGAUAAUUCGGCAUGUACGUUGACCUAAUCUUGUGGUAACACGUGUUAUUAUGAAAAGAAAUUAUGAAAAGAACGAAAACAGAUUAAAAAUUGCAAUUAAAAUAAAUACUAUGUAAUAAAAAUAUUAUAUAAAUGCUAUUGUGUAGAUGAACCAAACAAGAAUAACAAAUAAUUAGUAACAAUGAAAAUAUAUUAAUAACAAAAUCAUAAUAUAAAAUCUUAUAAGUUUAUUAUAAUAAACUUUAAAUUUUAUUAAAUAUUAGUAUUUUAAAAAUAUUGUAAUAAAUUUUAAACAGUACGAUCAGUGUAUUCACUUAAUAAAUUAUACUAAUAAAUUUCUGCAUAGAUUGGAAGAAAUUAAUGGUAGGUACACAACAAUAGUAUAUUUAGAAAUAUAACAGUCUCUCUGUUUUCCUCUCUUUACAGGAUUUAGUCAACAAACUAUCCCUGAGGGAUGGAAAUUGUAAAAAAUCGAGGGCGCGUAAUUAAUUAAUUCUAAUCGCGUCAGCAUGCACAGCUUGCAAACGGCAACGACAAACCAAGUUAUUGCGCCGUGAUACGUGCUGGUGGAAUCUGGCAAUAAAAUUUGCAUUAAUCGUUCUCGACCAACAGAAAGCAUAGAAAACGAAAAUGUAGAGAAGUAGGAUACUCAUAGUGUGACACACUAAAGAAAAAGAAAGGAGAGAUAUGGAGAGGUGCCAUAAAAUUGAUAUCAGAUAGCCAAAAGUUGUUUUGUCACUCGUUUUCGACACAGAUUGCGCCGCAAGAUACCAAACAAAUCGUGGAAUGUAUCCACUGUGAGUGAAAACGAAACCCUGUAAACUUUCUUCAUUAGUAAUAAUUAGUCACCAGUGACGAAAUUUUGAGAGGAACGUUGACUUUCGACAAACUUUAAAAUUUCCUCCGAUAAAAUUAAACGUUCAAACAUCCGAAACAGAAACGUAGCCGGGUAAAAGGAACUAAGAA
rnacentral:lncRNA from 1 species